rnacentral:rRNA from 1 species
GAGCACGUAGGUGGGUUUGUAAGUCAGAUGUGAAAGCCUUCUGUUCAACGAAAGAAUUGCAUCUGAAGCUGCGAGUCUUGAGUGUAGGAGGGGAGAAUGGAACUUCUGGUGGAGCGGUGAAAUGCGUAGAUAUCAGAAGGAACUCCGGCGGCGAAAGCGAUUCUCUGGCCUAUUACUGACACUCAGUGUGCGAAAGCUAGGGGAGCAAACGGGAUUAGAUACCCCGGUAGUCCUAGCCGUAAACGAUGGGCACUAAGUAGAGGGGUUUU